rnacentral:rRNA from 1 species
UACGUAGGGGGCAAGCGUUGUCCGGAUUUAUUGGGCGUAAAGAGCGUGUAGGCGGCCAGGUAGGUCGGUUGUGAAAACUAGAGGCUUAACCUCUAGACGUCGACCGAAACCACUUGGCUAGAGUCCGGAAGAGGAGAGUGGAGUUCCUGGUGUAGCGGUGAAAUGCGCAGAUAUCAGGAAGAACACCCGUGGCGAGGGCGGCUCUCUGGGACGGUACUGACGCUGAGACGCGAAAGCGUGGGGAGCGAACAGG